rnacentral:rRNA from 1 species
GUAGGCGGCAAGCGUUGUCCGGAAUUAUUGGGCGUAAAGCGCGCGCAGGCGGUUCUUUAAGUCUGAUGUGAAAGCCCACGGCUCAACCGUGGAGGGUCAUUGGAAACUGGAGAACUUGAGUACAGAAGAGGAAAGCGGAAUUCCACGUGUAGCGGUGAAAUGCGUAGAGAUGUGGAGGAACACCAGUGGCGAAGGCGGCUUUCUGGUCUGUAACUGACGCUGAGGCGCGAAAGCGUGGGGAGCAAACAGGAUUAGAUACCCUGGUAGUCCACGCCGUAAACGAUGAGUGCUAAGUGUUAGGGGGUUUCCGCCCCCCUUAGUGCUGCAGCUAACGCAUUAAGCACUCCGCCUGGGAGUACGGCCGCAAGGCUG